rnacentral:rRNA from 1 species
GACGUAGGGGGCGAGCGUUGUCCGGAAUUAUUGGGCGUAAAGCGCGCGUAGGCGGCUCGGAAAGUCGGAUGUGAAAAUCCGGGGCUCAACCCCGGACCUGCAUCCGAUACUCCCGAGCUGGAGGCAGGCAGGGGAGAUCGGAAUUCCUGGUGUAGCGGUGAAAUGCGCAGAUAUCAGGAGGAACACCGGUGGCGAAAGGCGGACCCACUGG